CAUCUCUGAUUUUUCUGAGAAGUUUAGAAGCCCAGCUCCGGACCCGUCUCUUAAGCGUAUAACCCACAAACACUCCAGCUACGAAGAAAACCGCGCACAGCUUUGAACACGUCCAUGCCGAUACUCCACUGCCACCCAGCGAUAAAAAAAAAUAGUCACAAAUUAAAAGCUGAGUAUAACAAGUAUUGCAAGGAUCUUACAAAUUCAAAAUCUUUCGAAGAUUACCUGGGAGUUCUUUUGACCAAAACUGCGGAAGUGUCGUAUGAAGUCGAGUUACCGCCGCCGCCGCCGGCUCGUUUCUCCGCGAAUUCAGAAAGAGAAGAGGAAGAAGAAGAAGCUGCCGAUUUCGCAUCUAUCACCAUCUUGCUGAAAAACUUCUCUACUCCUUCCAUCGCUCGCCAACCGAUUUUCUCGAUGCCGGUGAGGGAACUCUCUGGUUAAAGUAGUGACUUGCCGCCGCGCGUUGACCAAAAACCAAAAGGGUAAAAUUGGAAUUUUAUACUCAUGACUCGGAGAGAUAAACCGACCGCAAUUCAAAAGAGAACCGUAUGCGUUGGUUGCUAAAUGUUUCAAUUUAUUUUGAUUUUUUUGGGUUUCUCUCAAAAUGUAAAAAAGGAAAUUAAAUGUGAUGUAAAAUACAUAAUUAGAAACAAUGCUACAACUGAUGUAAGUUUAUAUCUCA